UACGGGGGGGGGUAAGCGUUGUUCGGAAUUACUGGGCGUAAAGGGCUCGUAGGCGGCCAACUAAGUCAGACGUGAAAUCCCUCAGCUUAACUGGGGAACUGCGUCUGAUACUGGAUGGCUUGGAUUUGGGGAGAGGAAUGCGGAAUUCCAGGUGUAGCGGUGAAAUGCGUAGAUAUCUGGAGGAACACCGGUGGCGAAGGCGGCAUUCUGGACCAAUAUUGACGCUGAGGAGCGAAAAGCCAGGGGGAGCAAACGGGAU
rnacentral:rRNA from 1 species